UACGGAGGGUGCGAGCGUUGUCCGGAAUCAUUGGGCGUAAAGGGCGCGUAGGUGGCCCCUCAAGCGUGCGGUGAAAGUCAGGGGCUCAACCCCUGAUCGGCCGUGCGAACUGGGAAGCUUGAGCACUGUAGAGGCAGGCGGAAUUCCGGGUGUAGCGGUGGAAUGCGUAGAGAUCCGGAAGAACACCGGUGGCGAAGGCGGCCUGCUGGGCAGUUUUGCUGACACUGAGGCGCGACAGCGUGGGGAGCAAACAGG
rnacentral:rRNA from 1 species